rnacentral:rRNA from 1 species
CCUUUUCGGAGGUACUCGAAUGGCGAACGGGUGAGUAACACGUGGGUGAUCUGCCCUGCACUCUGGGAUAAGCCUGGGAAACUGGGUCUAAUACCGGAUAGGACCGCACUUUAGUGUGUGUGGUGGAAAGUUUUUUCGGUGUAGGAUGAGCCCGCGGCCUAUCAGCUUGUUGGUGGGGUAAUGGCCUACCGAGGCGGCGACGGGUAGCCGGACUGAGAGGUUGGUCGGCCACAUUGGGACUGAGAUACGGCCCAG